UUCUUAUCCAGAGAGGUGGAGGGAUAGGCCCGAUGAAACCCAGCAACCGGCAUACAAGUGCAAGGUGCUAAUUCCUACAGCUAACUGUGGUUUACAGUGGAGCUGAAAGAUGAGAG
rnacentral:ncRNA from 1 species